rnacentral:rRNA from 1 species
GGGUUGUGAGGUUAAGCGACUAAGCGUACACGGUGGAUGCCCUGGCAGUCAGAGGCGAUGAAGGACGUGCUAAUCUGCGAUAAGCGUCGGUAAGGUGAUAUGAACCGUUAUAACCGGCGAUUUCCGAAUGGGGAAACCCAGUGUGUUUCGACACACUAUCAUUAACUGAAUCCAUAGGUUAAUGAGGCGAACCGGGGGAACUGAAACAUCUAAGUACCCCGAGGAAAAGAAAUCAACCGAGAUUCCCCCAGUAGCGGCGAGCGAACGGGGAGCAGCCCAGAGCCUGAAUCAGUGUGUGUGUUAGUGGAAGCGUCUGGAAAGGCGCGCGAUACAGGGUGACAGCCCCGUACACAAAAAUGCACAUGCUGUGAGCUCGAUGAGUAGGGCGGGACACGUGGUAUCCUGUCUGAAUAUGGGGGGACCAUCCUCCAAGGCUAAAUACUCCUGACUGACCGAUAGUGAACCAGUACCGUGAGGGAAAGGCGAAAAGAACCCCGGCGAGGGGAGUGAAAAAGAACCUGAAACCGUGUACGUACAAGCAGUGGGAGCACGCUUAGGCGUGUGACUGCGUACCUUUUGUAUAAUGGGUCAGCGACUUAUAUUCUGUAGCAAGGUUAACCGAAUAGGGGAGCCGAAGGGAAACCGAGUCUUAACUGGGCGUUAAGUUGCAGGGUAUAGACCCGAAACCCGGUGAUCUAGCCAUGGGCAGGUUGAAGGUUGGGUAACACUAACUGGAGGACCGAACCGACUAAUGUUGAAAAAUUAGCGGAUGACUUGUGGCUGGGGGUGAAAGGCCAAUCAAACCGGGAGAUAGCUGGUUCUCCCCGAAAGCUAUUUAGGUAGCGCCUCGUGAAUUCAUCUCCGGGGGUAGAGCACUGUUUCGGCAAGGGGGUCAUCCCGACUUACCAACCCGAUGCAAACUGCGAAUACCGGAGAAUGUUAUCACGGGAGACACACGGCGGGUGCUAACGUCCGUCGUGAAGAGGGAAACAACCCAGACCGCCAGCUAAGGUCCCAAAGUCAUGGUUAAGUGGGAAACGAUGUGGGAAGGCCCAGACAGCCAGGAUGUUGGCUUAGAAGCAGCCAUCAUUUAAAGAAAGCGUAAUAGCUCACUGGUCGAGUCGGCCUGCGCGGAAGAUGUAACGGGGCUAAACCAUGCACCGAAGCUGCGGCAGCGACGCUUAUGCGUUGUUGGGUAGGGGAGCGUUCUGUAAGCCUGUGAAGGUGUGCUGUGAGGCAUGCUGGAGGUAUCAGAAGUGCGAAUGCUGACAUAAGUAACGAUAAAGCGGGUGAAAAGCCCGCUCGCCGGAAGACCAAGGGUUCCUGUCCAACGUUAAUCGGGGCAGGGUGAGUCGACCCCUAAGGCGAGGCCGAAAGGCGUAGUCGAUGGGAAACAGGUUAAUAUUCCUGUACUUGGUGUUACUGCGAAGGGGGGACGGAGAAGGCUAUGUUGGCCGGGCGACGGUUGUCCCGGUUUAAGCGUGUAGGCUGGUUUUCCAGGCAAAUCCGGAAAAUCAAGGCUGAGGCGUGAUGACGAGGCACUACGGUGCUGAAGCAACAAAUGCCCUGCUUCCAGGAAAAGCCUCUAAGCAUCAGGUAACAUCAAAUCGUACCCCAAACCGACACAGGUGGUCAGGUAGAGAAUACCAAGGCGCUUGAGAGAACUCGGGUGAAGGAACUAGGCAAAAUGGUGCCGUAACUUCGGGAGAAGGCACGCUGAUAUGUAGGUGAAGCGACUUGCUCGUGGAGCUGAAAUCAGUCGAAGAUACCAGCUGGCUGCAACUGUUUAUUAAAAACACAGCACUGUGCAAACACGAAAGUGGACGUAUACGGUGUGACGCCUGCCCGGUGCCGGAAGGUUAAUUGAUGGGGUUAGCCGCAAGGCGAAGCUCUUGAUCGAAGCCCCGGUAAACGGCGGCCGUAACUAUAACGGUCCUAAGGUAGCGAAAUUCCUUGUCGGGUAAGUUCCGACCUGCACGAAUGGCGUAAUGAUGGCCAGGCUGUCUCCACCCGAGACUCAGUGAAAUUGAACUCGCUGUGAAGAUGCAGUGUACCCGCGGCAAGACGGAAAGACCCCGUGAACCUUUACUAUAGCUUGACACUGAACAUUGAGCCUUGAUGUGUAGGAUAGGUGGGAGGCUUAGAAGUGUGGACGCCAGUCUGCAUGGAGCCGACCUUGAAAUACCACCCUUUAAUGUUUGAUGUUCUAACGUUGACCCGUAAUCCGGGUUGCGGACAGUGUCUGGUGGGUAGUUUGACUGGGGCGGUCUCCUCCUAAAGAGUAACGGAGGAGCACGAAGGUUGGCUAAUCCUGGUCGGACAUCAGGAGGUUAGUGCAAUGGCAUAAGCCAGCUUGACUGCGAGCGUGACGGCGCGAGCAGGUGCGAAAGCAGGUCAUAGUGAUCCGGUGGUUCUGAAUGGAAGGGCCAUCGCUCAACGGAUAAAAGGUACUCCGGGGAUAACAGGCUGAUACCGCCCAAGAGUUCAUAUCGACGGCGGUGUUUGGCACCUCGAUGUCGGCUCAUCACAUCCUGGGGCUGAAGUAGGUCCCAAGGGUAUGGCUGUUCGCCAUUUAAAGUGGUACGCGAGCUGGGUUUAGAACGUCGUGAGACAGUUCGGUCCCUAUCUGCCGUGGGCGCUGGAGAACUGAGGGGGGCUGCUCCUAGUACGAGAGGACCGGAGUGGACGCAUCACUGGUGUUCGGGUUGUCAUGCCAAUGGCACUGCCCGGUAGCUAAAUGCGGAAGAGAUAAGUGCUGAAAGCAUCUAAGCACGAAACUUGCCCCGAGAUGAGUUCUCCCUGACCCUUUAAGGGUCCUGAAGGAACGUUGAAGACGACGACGUUGAUAGGCCGGGUGUGUAAGCGCAGCGAUGCGUUGAGCUAACCGGUACUAAUGAACCGUGAGGCUUAACCUUACAACGCCGAAG